GUCCCGUAGCGCAAUGGAUUGUGCGUUGGAUUUCUAGUCCAAAGAUCGUGGGUUAAAUUACCACCUGGGAUG